GAUGAACGCUGGCGGCGUGCUUAACACAUGCAAGUCGAACGAAGCAUUUCCUUUUCUUCGGAAAAGGAAAUGACUGAGUGGCGGACGGGUGAGUAACGCGUGGGUAACCUGCCUCAUACAGGGGGAUAACAGCUGGAAACGGCUGCUAAUACCGCAUAAGCGCACAAUGCUGCAUGGCAUAGUGUGAAAAACUCUGGUAGUAUGAGAUGGACCCGCGUCUGAUUAGCUAGUUGGUAAGGUAAUGGCUUACCAAGGCGACGAUCAGUAGCCGACCUGGGAGGGUGACCGGCCACAUUGGGACUGAGACACGGCCCAAACUCCUACGGGAGGCAGCAGUGGGGAAUAUUGCACAAUGGGCGAAAGCCUGAUGCAGCGACGCCGCGUGAGCGAAGAAGUAUUUCGGUAUGUAAAGCUCUAUCAGCAGGGAAGAAAAAAAUGACGGUACCUGACUAAGAAGCACCGGCUAAAUACGUGCCAGCCGCCGCGGUAA
rnacentral:rRNA from 1 species